ensembl:lncRNA
CUGUCAUAUCCUAUUCUGGUAAAUAGGACUCCAUGAAUAGCUACAUACUAUCAGCCACUUGGAAGAUGCUUAAAGGAGGGGCUGUCUUCCAGACAGGCAGCAACUGUGACAAGGAAAUAAAAGUCUAGAAAAAAAGGUGACAAUUGAUCUAAGCUGGACCAACUUUUGAAACUUGGAGAGAAACCGGUUAAAGCUGUUACCUUAAAGGCCAUGUCCGUACACUCCAGUUGCUGAGGCCUCCAUGGACUGUGGGUUUGCGGAAAAGGUUCGCUGCUGCUUCCAGGCCUGUGCCCAGCUACGGUGAGGACUCUGGAGCUCUUCAGGAUCCAGCCCUCAGCCUGUCCCCAGGCUGCCCAGCUCAUCCACUGGCCCGGAGGCUGGGGGGCCUAGAGGGCCCCAGGGAGAAGGCCUUAAUCUGCACUCUCUGCCACAAGGACCACUGGGACACUGACUGUUGGCCACGCUCAAGGUCUCCUGAUAAGAAUUACAGACUAACGGCUGCAUGCUUGCUCCACUCCUAUUACAUAAGUACUCAAUAAAUACAUAUCUAUUGUUAUUGCAAUGCAGAAUGUCUGGUCAUCAUAGCUACCAAAAAAUUCCAAACAUUUAGCUGAUUUAAUCCCCAACUCUGGUCAAAAAAAACCCUUUUUGUGAGCCUUCAUUUCACAAGCUGAGACAUGAUUUAAUGGGCUUCCAAAGCGUGGAAGAGUUCCAAGCACAGGUGGUGGUGAGCAGCUGUUUUCCAUCUCCGCUGAGGACCAGCUGAGAGUCUUAAAGAGCCACAUGAGCAAUUUGGGUAUAAAGUACUAGGA